UCUGACGGAGCAACGCCGCGUGAGUGAUGAAGGCUUUCGGGUCGUAAAUCUCUGUUGUUAGGGAAGAACAAGUGCUAGUUGAAUAAGCUGGCACCUUGACGGUACCUAACCAGAAAGCCACGGCUAACUACGUGCCAGCAGCCGCGGUAAUACGUAGGUGGCAAGCGUUAUCCGGAAUUAUUGGGCGUAAAGCGCGCGCAGGUGGUUUCUUAAGUCUGAUGUGAAAGCCCACGGCUCAACCGUGGAGGGUCAUUGGAAACUGGGAGACUUGAGUGCAGAAGAGGAAAGUGGAAUUCCAUGUGUAGCGGUGAAAUGCGUAGAGAUAUGGAGGAACACCAGUGGCGAAGGCGACUUUCUGGUCUGUAACUGACACUGAGGCGCGAAAGCGUGGGGAGCAAACAGGAUUAGAUACCCUGGUAGUCCACGCCGUAAACGAUGAGUGCUAAGUGUUAGAGGGUUUCCCCCCUUUAGUGCUGAAGUUAACGCAUUAAGCACUCCGCCUGGGGAGUACGGCCGCAAGGCUGAAACUCAAAGGAAUUGACGGGGGCCCGCACAAGCGGUGGAGCAUGUGGUUUAAUU
rnacentral:rRNA from 1 species